rnacentral:lncRNA from 1 species
AGAGUGUAGACACUGACUGAUGGGACCAGGUACAAAAUCCCCUGGGACAAAACAGAACUUUCAUAACUGGCUGUAGAGUUAUUGUUUUUGCCUUUUGGAAGCUUCCACCUUGUGACGGGAAGAGCACUGUCAGCCCAACACAGAAACUCUGCCGCCUGGAGUCACGUGGAUCCAGAUGCGAAGGGACUCCAACGUCAUGCUAAGGAGUUUGGGUAAUAACAAUGAUAAAAUGCACUUAUUGAGGUAGUGUUUAAUGUGUUUAAUGUAUCUUCUUUACACGUGUUUAAUGUAUCUUCUUUAAUCCUGAAGGCUAAGAAUUUGUACAGCCAUAUUACAGAUUUGGAAAAUGAUGUGAAGAGAAGCUAAGGGAUUUGCCACUGCCACUCAGCUGCCAAGGAUCAGAGGCAGGAUUCUAGUCUGUCCCCUUUGUUCCAUCACCCCUGCCUCCCCCUGGGCCCAGCCACCAUCACCUCUCCUGGGGGGAGCUCCUAAUUGUUCUCCCUUCUUCCUCUUGUGCGCUCCUCCAAACUAUCUCCAGCCAAAGUGAUCUUUAACAAUGUAAAUCCAGUUAUAUCACUCUUUCCAUUGUAACAGACAUUACUUCUACUUCUCAACGUCCAUCCUCCAACCAUUGUCCAGUGAUUCAGGCAGAAUUCCCUCCUGCUCAGGAGGUAGCCAUCCUGUGACCCUGGAAGAAACCAGCCCAAGGAAGGUGCUAACCUACAGAAGAAGGACAUGGCCAGGGUAAUCACAUAGACCCGGAGUUGAAGCCCUGACUGCACCACACCCGAAGCCUCCCCACCUUUCAACCUCUCGGUGAUGGUGAACCAAUAAACUCUUUUUAUUGUUC